rnacentral:lncRNA from 10 species
UUUGAUGCAAAAGGCAAAGAGGAAUCUAAGCUAGAUUUUGUUCUUAUUCUUUCUGUAUUGAAGAGACGAGUAUUUGUAGAGAUGGUGAAGAACAGGAUGCAGAACUCAAAUUCCCAGGUUGGAACCAGAAAAGCCUCCCUAAAGAUGGACCAAGAAAGAGAGAUGCUGAGGAAAGAGACCUCCAGCAAGUCCAGCCAGAGCCUUUUGCAUUCUAAGCCCAGUGGAAAGUACUAGAGAAACCUCGUCCCACCAGGCCUCAUGUGAUCCUCUACCAGAAGCUGGAGCAGCCACCUUGGGGAUCAGCAGACACCAGCAGCAGGCCAAAGGAUAGUGGAGUGGAGGGACAAGAAGGCCUGGGUGAGCCUUCUCUGAGAAUCACUGAGCUCUGAACCAUGAAUGAACUGCCUACCUCUGUACUUCCUGUUGUAUAGGACAAAGAAAUCCCUAUCUAUUUAAA